rnacentral:rRNA from 1 species
GACGUAGGGCGCGAGCGUUGUCCGGAUUUAUUGGGCGUAAAGAGCUCGUAGGCGGCUUGUCGCGUCGUCCGUGAAAACCUGCAGCUCAACUGCAGGCUUGCGGUCGAUACGGGCAGGCUAGAGUUCGGUAGGGGAGACUGGAAUUCCUGGUGUAGCGGUGAAAUGCGCAGAUAUCAGGAGGAACGCCGGUGGCGAAAGCGACACACUGGACCUUGUCUGACGCUGAGGCACGAAAGCCAGGGGAGCAAACGGG